CAAUUAACACCCGGCCUCAGGAGGACUCUACAGCCUCCCACAGGAAGAAAACAAAUCGCAAUAAAAUGGAAAGUUGCAGAAAGGGAAGACCCCAAACUCUGGCCCGGAGCCAGGGAGGGAAGGGAAGGCUCCCUACAGGAUGCUGAGAGGGGGACGCUUAGGGGCACAGAAACGCAGCCCAAAGAUUAAGAACAAUGUUGCUGGCAUCCAGGCCAACACCGGCCGGGGCACCCAGUGGGGAAAGCAAAGAAAGAAAAGUGGGGUCCGGGAAGAAUGGGGAACUGGGUCUGCGCGAAUCGCCUGUAAAUAGAGCCCCUUCCGGGAUGCCAAGUUCCCUCCCUUCCAUUAAGAGGGGAAAGAAAAAAAAAAAAAAAAGGAGCCCUACAUCCAUGAAUAGAAAGCUCAGGUUACAGCCGGGGAAAAUACGGACUAGAGGAGGGGGGCUGGAGUCCCGCGGGGACGGUUGAGGCGGGCGGGGGCGUAUGCAACAAAUGGGCGCGGGAGGAACGAGCGGCGCCAAAGGGGCGCGGGCCGGGCGUGGGGAGAGGCGGCCCGGGAGCCCGGAGCGGAGCUGGGAGGGCCGGAGGGGCUUCCGGGGAGGCCGCCCAGCCCCGCGCCCCGCGGGCUUGUAAACAAAGGGCACCCCGCGCACGCUGGGCGUCCCCUAACCGCCAAACUCGAGGAGCCCGCGGAGCCCCCCGCAAACUUCCCGCCGGGCGCGCGGACGCCCCCCGACGGCGCGGGCGAGGAACCCACGCCGCUCUCCCACCGCACACCGAGGUGGCGCGGGCGGGAAGACGGGCACCGCAUUGUUGGGGACUCACUUGGAGGACCAGCCGCGCCACUUGACCAGGCUCCACCCACACUGGGACCCUUGGCCUGGGUCCAUCCCUGCCCUGACAAGUCCGGUCAAGAAUGAAGACCAGCUUUCCUGGGGCCCCCUCCAGCUGAAAAGUCACCGUCUCCAACUUGCAUCUGCCUGGAUGCCUGGCCCCGACUGAGCACAGAUCAGACAGUGGGAGUGUUCCCCACAAGAGCCAAAAGGUGGAAGCAACCCAGUGUCCAUCAGUGGAUGAGCAAACAAAAAAUGGUCCGUCCACACGAUGGAAUAUUAUUCAGCCUUGAAAAAGAAGGAAAUGCUGACACCUGCUACAACAUGGAUGAAUUCUGAGGACAUGCUGCUAAGGGAAAUAAACCAGUCACAAAAGGACAGACACUGUCUGAUUCUGCUCAUAUGAGGUUCCACGAGCACAGAGUGGGGAGUCGGGGGCAUGCAGGAGGGGCUUGGCAACUCUUGAGGCGGUAAGUGACGUAGCACCAGGAGGACUCUUAAGACAGGACUCCCUAUUCUCAGGGGAGGAGGGGUAUGAAGGAGAGAGCCUGGAUCCUGGAUCCCAGCUCUGCAUGAGCAACAGAUUCACCUUUCUGAGCUGUGGUUUCUCCAUCGGUACAUGAUGCUUACUGCGAGAGCUUGCAGGAAAGGACUACAUGUGAUGAAGCUUAUGAAACACCUAGCACAUUGCAUGGCCAAUAGUUGGGAUAAAAUUUCUUUUAUCACCCUAGGAGUCUACAACCAGAGAGGGGCACAUAAAUGCAGAUGUAGAGGGGCAGGAAACAGGCACAGGCAACCCAAGGCUGAGUCAGGUAUAAUCAGCCACGGUCUGCAAUUAGUGGCUAGCUCUGCACUUAUAUUCGGGGGUGGAGUCGUGGCUGGGUAGGAUCUGAACGUGGUGUCAGGCUCUCUUGCAAUCACACCAGGUGGCAGUGAUGUGGCAUUCCCUGUUCAGGGAGGCAAGCCAGCCUCAGACACACCUCAGACAAAAGGCAGCCUUUUUCACCCUAGGGUCCUCCGUCAGCCUCCCCUUUCUUUACCACUGAGCCACCUGGGAGGAUCUAGCCCAUAUUAUUUUGGCAUAAAAAGGAAUGAGCCCUGCGAUAUUCUAUAACAGGGCCAGACUGGAAAAUGCGCAGAGAAAGAAGCCAGACACAAGAGGACGAAGUUGCACGAUUCCACUUAUACAGAAUGUCCAGAUCCGGCAAAUCCAUGGAGACAGGGAGCAGAUUGGUGGUUUCCAGGGGCCUGAGGGGCAGACAGGGGGAUGCGGGUGACUGUUAAAUGGUGUGAGGUUUCCUUUUCCUUCUGGGACUGGGAUAAAAUGUCCUGGGUCUAGAUAGAGGUGGUGGUGGAACAACACUAUG